GACCCAAAAAAAAAAAGUGUUCAUCGUCACUUUGAUGAUCGUCACUAAUCUUCGCGUCAGAGUUUGUUCAUGUCGUUCCCGUUUCGAUUCUUCACCUCCCAACGGUUACAAGUCUCAUUGAUUCAACAUAAUUAACCAAAACUUAGCUCUUCCUGGCCACUACAACCAAGAUCUCGCUUUCAAAGACUCUUAUCUAGCUUCAAGGCGGUGACUCUCACCUAUAAAAACGAGGCUGGAAGUUGUUCUUCUUACACGGUGGAGGUUCGGCUGCUCAGAUUCUGGAAAGCAAGAAUGUGAUCAUGUUUGAUUUUUUCGUGGUUGAAUCUAAACGUGAUCGUGUUUGACUUAGUAAUUCACUAUGAGACUUACCAGAAAUCUCUUGCGGAGCACCAAAACCCAGAUACGUUGAAGAGGCUGAAUGCGGCUGAUAGAGCCAAGAAGAUUUGCUGCAUCAAUAGUAUUUUGAUCCCACUAUUGGUGAGGCAAAGCGUCAAAAAGGUAAUCUGGUUUUGCAGUUCUAUCUUGGUAAAGCGAGUUAUACUAACAUCAUUUUGUGUUUGUAAUACAGGUAAUAAGUUAUUCAAGGAGCAGGAGUAUCAUGAUGCUGUGAGACAUCACACUGAAGCUAUACAAAGAAAUCCAAAAGAACCAACAGUAAGUCCAAUUCUAAUCAUCUUAUAUGUACUUAACUGUUGUGUAUAAAGGCUUCACUGUUACGUCUUCAUUUCGGUUUAGAGCGAACCAGUGAGCUAAGAUUUUUUUUUUUUCUUUUCUUCCAGACUAGGCCUAGGGGAAUGCAAGACCAGGGAAUCAAGAACAUUCUCACAGAUAUGUAAUGAGACAAACUUUGAUCUCUAGAUGUCUUCUCGAUUUACAAAUCAAUGUUUGGUUAUUUGUUGCAGCAAUCCGUCUUGAUGUUAAUGAUAUCUCACCAAAAUCCAAACUCUUUUAACAGAUUCUGUAUGAUUUCAGGAGAAUUCACCAGCAGCACAACAUGCACACCCGAUGAUCAUGAUCAAAUCCAAAAGCAUAUAAAGCUAAACCCAGAUUUUUUACUUUUUGUAGCUCUCAAACCAAAAUCAAGUUCCACCCAUUGUUUCAGGAUAAUCUGAUGUAACAUUUUCUUAUAUCAAAUGUGUCUUUAUAAGACAGAGACUUGAAUUGCUUACAUAACUGCAAAGCCCAAAACAAACUCACAAAAAUUCUUCAGUACGUAGGGUUAGUUCUGAACAAGAAAAACAAAAUGUUAAGCAGCAACUUCUUCAUCCUUGGAUGAAAGUUCAGAGGAUGAUGCAAGCUCUUGGUGUUUUGUUGAAUGUUCAGUUUAGGACUUACGCGGGAUGAAGAUGAGGCUCAGGAGGAUGAGAUACCUACACGAGUAAUAUAAUUCAACAAUUAUUGAAAGAACAAGAACAAGAGAAAACUAAAAACAUGAAAAAAAAAACAUCAAUACCCAAGCCGGAUAGUUCUUUUUUUUCACAAAGAAGCCGGAUAGUUCUUGACGCCUGACAUCUCAAUAUCACUCAAAAGGAUGACCAAAUUGAUUGAGAAAAUAAAAAAAGUAAUAACAAACAAACAAAAAUUGAUUACAAAAGAAAGUAUAUCUCUAAUGUAGUCUUAUACACAACAAAAACAUAUACACAAUAAAAACAUACAAAUAAAUACAACACGUAUCUAAUUAUUCGAUGCUAUUAAUCUCCAACCACCAUCACUACCAUCAAAUAGUCAUAUAAUCAUUAACCAUUAUUGCUAUACAUAAAUUACUAGCUUAAUAUACGUCUAACAGUAUAUAUAUAUAUAUAUAUAUAUAAGUUAUUAGUUUUAAGUAUAGUCAGAUAUUAAUAAAUAAAAAUAAAAUUUUUAGAUGUUAAUAUAUAAUAAAUAAAUUAUAUUUAAUGAGGUCAGUGUUAAAAAUCAUUUUCUAAAAAUUAAUCAGUAUCAUUUUAGAAAAUUAAUCGGUAACGUAUAUAAAUUACAAAAUUAAUAAUAAAAUAAAUAGUGAAACUUUUUUAUAAAUAUUGAAAAUUAAUGUUACAUAUUAUUGCGAUUAAAUUAAACAUUUUUAAAGUUACUUUAAAUUAGUUUAAAGGGUAAUAUAAGUAUAUGUUUUACAAGUAUUGUGAACAUAAAAUCUAAGGUUAUUGUAAAUGUGGACUUUUAAAAAAAAAACUAAAAUCAAAAGCUCAACCAUCAAACAAGUAAUAAAAGGAGGAUAUAAGCCUUAGAUAGAGUGUCCACGUAGGCGAAAAUAACCGUCCAAUGAGAAACUAUAUUUUUGCCAUGUCACCUCCUCUAUUUGUUUUUACAAAAUGAUCCUUUAACUUUUUACUUAAACAAUUAUAACCAAAAAUAUUUUUUAGUGAAAUAUAUUAUUUAUAUAAUUAUAUUAUUUAUUUACAUAAUAGUUUGUAAAGAAAUAUUUAGUGUAAAUAAUAUCAUAAUUUUAUAAAAUACUAAAAUAAAUUGGGUUAGUUUUCAAGUUUCACAAAUAAAAAGUAUUAUUUGUAAACUUAGAAAAUAAUAUAUCAAGAAUAUCAUUUUUCAGGAGAGAAAAUAGAAAAAUACAUCGGAGACAAAUUCAUCUCUAUUAUGAAAUUUCUCUAAUUUAGAGAAAAAAUAGAGGAAUACAUUGGAGAUGGUCUAAGGCAUGACCGACGUAAAUGAUCGACGUUGAGAUUUCAGCUUUUCUGAUUCUUACAUUUUAAUGUUUCAAUAUAAUUUGAAUAUUCUCUUUGCUUUAUAAUAUAAUGGUUAAAAAGUAUUUUUUGUUUCACUAUAUAAAUUAUUUUUUAUAUAUCAAUGUAACUUUAUACUUAUUGGAUAUUGUGUGGCUAAUUAAAUUAUGUAAAUUAUUGUGUAAUUGAUUAAAUUUAUAUACUGAUAUUGCUCAAUUACACUAAAAGUCUAAAUUUACAACAUACACAGUUUUAUUUACAUCUUUAAACCUAUUAUCUAAUUAAAAUGAUUCUAAAAAAAGUGCCAGCAUAAAGAGUUCAAAAAUAUACGAUAAAAGAUAAUACAUAACGUUAAAAAUGUAUUAUCACUGAUCACUAAAAAAUCAUGUUAAUAGUAAUAGAAAUGAAAUGACAACACAUUUAUUAAAACCAUAGAACGACA